rnacentral:rRNA from 1 species
CUACGGGAGGCACCAGUGAGGAAUAUUGCACAAUGGGGGAAACUCUGAUGCAGCAACGCCGCGUGGAGGAUGACACUUUUCGGAGCGUAAACUCCUUUUAUAUAGGAAGAAGAUGACGGUACUAUAUGAAUAAGCGCCGGCUAACUCCGUGCCAGCAGCCGCGGUAAUACGGAGGGCGCAAGCGUUACUCGGAAUCACUGGGCGUAAAGAGCGUGUAGGCGGAUUAAAAAGUCAGAAGUGAAAUCCUAUAGCUUAACUAUAGAACUGCUUCUGAAACUCUUAAUCUAGAAUAUGGGAGAGGUAGAUGGAAUUUCUGGUGUAGGGGUAAAAUCCGUAGAGAUCAGAAGGAAUACCGAUUGCGAAGGCGAUCUACUAGAACAUUAUUGACGCUGAGACGCGAAAGCGUGGGGAGCAAACAGGAUUAGAUACCCUCGUAGUC